UUAGCUUCGUUCCAGGCGCUCCCUUUGCACGUGUGAGUAUGUUUUGUCAGCUCUGUCUUUGGGUACAGAUUAAAAUGCAUCUCUUCGCAGUUCUCGUUUUCAGAAUAGUCGUGCUUGUUUGUGUUAAACAAAUUAGUGCCAUAAUAGUCCUGUCCCCCUGGGGAGACAUAAAUAUUGUACAGUAAAAAUCUAAAAUGUAUGUUUAUUGUGUCUAUUUCCCAAAAAAAUGCUUAACUGAGUUACUGUGUUUAAUUUUCUUGAUUGUUUUCUGUUUGUUAAAUGAGAGUGUGUCUGAAAAAAACUAAAAGCAAAGCUAGAGGCAGAGGAUAACAACAUCUAUGGCUAUUAAUUAAGCUGAAAUCCUUGAACAUGACUCCUUCCAACUUGUUAUCUUCCAGACACGAGAUGACUUUGUUCUUUGGGUGACUACUGCUAGACAGACGCAUCCUGUUGUGAUAAAGGAGACCAGCUGGAUUUAGGACUGCGGCGUCGUGUUUGUGGGCUCACAGCACCAGCCGGCAUGGGAGAGUGCAGUGCUUCCUCUGCCACUUACUCAGUGCUGAGGAAAUUGGACACGAGUGAAAAUGGAUGAGGAUGGAGCACAGAGGACGCAGGGCCCUGCCAGGUGCUGUGCAGCAGCUGGUGUUGUGAAUCAGGCCGUCACCAGUCGGAG